AACGAACGUUGGUGGCAUGCCUAACACAUGCAAGUCGAACGAGAAGCUAACUUCGGUUAGUGGAAAGUGGCGCACGGGUGAGUAAUACAUAGGGAUCUGCCUCGCACUGGGGGAUAACAUUCAGAAAUGAAUGCUAAUACCGCAUACGCCUUAUUGGGAAAACUACGGUGGUGUGAGAUGAGUCUAUGCUCGAUUAGCUAGUUGGUAGGGUAAAAGCCUACCAAGGCGACGAUCGAUAGCGGGUUUGAGAGGAUGAUCCGCCACACUGGAACUGAGACACGGUCCAG
rnacentral:rRNA from 1 species